AGAACGAACGCUGGCGGCAUGCCUAAUACAUGCAAGUCGAACGAACUCUUCGGAGUUAGUGGCGCACGGGUGCGUAACGCGUGGGAAUCUGCCCCUUGGUUCGGAAUAACAGUUGGAAACGACUGCUAAUACCGGAUGAUGACGAAAGUCCAAAGAUUUAUCGCCAAGGGAUGAGCCCGCGUAGGAUUAGCUAGUUGGUGAGGUAAAGGCUCACCAAGGCAACGAUCCUUAGCUGGUCUGAGAGGAUGAUCAGCCACACUGGGACUGAGACACGGCCCAGACUCCUACGGGAGGCAGCAGUAGGGAAUAUUGGACAAUGGGCGAAAGCCUGACCCAGCAAUGCCGCGUGAGUGAUGAAGGCCUUAGGUUGUAAAGCUCUUUUUACCCGAGAUGAUAAUGACAGUAUCGGGAGAAUAAGCCCCGGCUAACUCCGUGCUAGCAGCCGC
rnacentral:rRNA from 1 species